UACAGGAGGGGGCAAGCGUUAUUCGGAAUUAUUGGGCGUAAAGGGCGCGUAGGCGGCUUGGCAAGUGGAUGGUGAAAUCCCUCGGCUUAACCGAGGAACUGCCGUCCAAACUGCUUCGCUUGAGACCGGGAGAGGUGAGUGGAAUUCCCAGUGUAGCGGUGAAAUGCGUAGAUAUUGGGAGGAACACCAGUGGCGAAGGCGGCUCACUGGACCAUAACUGACGCUGAUGCACGAAAGCUAGGGGAGCAAACAGG
rnacentral:rRNA from 1 species